rnacentral:lncRNA from 1 species
UUCGGCCUCAGCUACGUGCUCCUCGCUAGGGUCGUUGAUCAGCUCGACGACCCGCAAUCUUCGGUAUCUUCGAGUGCUCAGAAAUCAAGUGGCUGUAAUCGAGUAUUGGUUAUUUGGAAAAUAUGUUGAGUGCGAAGAUAGUGAAUGUCCUUCGAGUGAAAGGAUUUCAUUGGAAAAUUAUGCUUACUUUUAAUAAUUGUACACGAUAUUUAUUUUCGGAUUACUAUCGUCUUCUAAAAUGAAAGUUCGUGAAUAAAAUGAACAAAUCUCAAUGCACCGUUCCACCGCUUGAGAAUCAUUGACUUCUCGUAUCAUUAUUGCGAGAGACUGCAAGUCUUGUCGCGUUAAAAAUUACCUCCAAGAACUGAUAUUUUUAAUCGUUGACCGAAAAGUCUGUGAAUAAAUUAAUCUGUUUGCAUAUCCUCUUUUGACUGCAAUAUUUUAUUUUAGCGCUGGUGGAAUCGGCAAGCGAGUUUCAAGUAGAACGUCGUAUUAUAACGACAAGUUUCACCCUCUACACGAAGGUUCUGAAGAUGCAGAUAAGAGCUGUUGAUAGCGCAGCAGCGCGACGCUACUUAAGGCCCCUGACCCGAGGCUUGAGUGCAGACCGUCCGAUGUGAGUAGCGCACAACGAACGCCUCCUCGCAGCCUCAGCAGAACAUUGCAACGUUUCGAGCUUUUGCCGACAAACGGAAAAAUUUCCGUAUAUUUUGGACUCGGAGGAACGGACUGAUCUGCCAAAACAAACUUCUACGAAUGAAUCUCAAUUGAAGUCCGUCCCUUGACUGAAGUCAUUAGAUUUAAUUCCACCGCUGCUCGCCUUCAUCACGAAUUUCACCAACUAUCUCACCAUGGGUUUGAUCCAGUCGUCGGAAACGCCAAAAGAGUUGAACAACAACGCGCAGAAGGCAAGCGUUUGCCCCAACUCCUACAUGGUGAUAGCAAACAUCCUCACUUUAUUCUUGUAUCAUCAAUUCUAUCCUAUAAUUGCUCAUUGUCUACCAGAAGGCUUCGACUUUACUGACUGCAGUAUUUACUUGAACAUUUCUGCAACCAUCGUCACGACCUGCACACCUGUAGGAUAGGCGUUGCAGACGCUUAUUUCUUCGUAUAUUGUGCUCACCAUGCAUGGGCAAUUUCUCGAUCUUGAUCUGCAAGAUCGGGAAAUUGCCCAUCCAUGAUCAUAGUUUAACCAGAUAAAUAUAAUUCCGUCACCAUUAAUCAUAAGCCAUUGUCAUAAAUUUGCACGUUCAACUUUAACUUUAAGAUGCUUGGUAGCAGUACACAAGCAAUUUUCAUUUUCAAACCCAAUUAUAAUGUCAUUUGAAAAUUUGAUGCAAUUUAACGUCAAUAAAAAGAAGGUUCAACAGAGUUAAGUUUCUACAUCUAAUAAUAAAUGACGUUAAUUAAUUUGAAGGGUUAAUUAGCCUAUUAGCCACGGAUAACGCUAAAUUGUUUAGAAAUGCAUGUUAUUAUAAGUUGCGCUGACAAUCAUCUUACUUAGUGAUUUAGAUCGCCUAACAUGAGUGCCAAAUCAUACUGAAAAGUUAUAUAUUUAAUUGUUGCACUCGAUAAUCUGUGAUAUUAUUCUAAUUACUCUUCUUAGCAAAUGUAUAGCGAUAGAAAAUAAUGAAAAAUAAAACAAAAAACGGUCGAAUAUGUUAUAUACUGAUUUUAAAAAUCAUGGAUUCCUAGUGGUUACUUAAAAUUCUAUUGUAAAUAUGCUUAAACAAUAAAUGAAAAUUAUUAAGUUCAAAUAUAAAUUCCACCUGGCAGCCCAAGCAUAAUAAAAUUCUUUAACUAUCCUAAUUUUGGAUAAAACAAUGAAUUGACUUUCAUUGACUCUAUUUGCUACUUCAUAUAUGGCAUAGUAUAUAAAGGACGAGAACAUUAUGAAAAAAAUAUCGGCAAGAAUUAAUGCCACGAAAUUUAUUUAAAUUCAUUUUG